rnacentral:rRNA from 1 species
AUCCAGCGAACUUGGCAGAGAUGCCUUGGUGCCUUCGGGAACGCUGAGACAGGUGCUGCAUGGCUGUCGUCAGCUCGUGUUGUGAAAUAGUUGGUUAAGUCCCGCAACGAGCGCAACCCUUAUCCUUUGUUGCCAGCGAUUCGGUCGGGAACUCAAAGGAGACUGCCGGUGAUAAACCGGAGGAAGGUGGGGAUGACGUCAAGUCAUCAUGGCCCUUACGAGUAGGGCUACACACGUGCUACAAUGGCGCAUACAAAGAGAAGCGACCUCGCGAGAGCAAGCGGACCUCAUAAAGUGCGUCGUAGUCCGGAUCGGAGUCUGCAACUCGACUCCGUGAAGUCGGAAUCGCUAGUAAUCGUGGAUCAGAAUGCCACGGUGAAUACGUUCCCGGGCCUUGUACACACCGCCCGUCACACCAUGGGAGUGGGUUGCAAAAGAAGUAGGUAGCUUAACCUUCGGGAGGGCGCUUACCACUUUGUGAUUCAUGACUGGGGUGAAGUCGUAACAAGGUAAGCGUAGCGAG